AUUGAACGCUGGCGGCAGGCUUAACACAUGCAAGUCGAACGGUAACAGAACUAGCUUGCUAGUUGCUGACGAGUGGCGGACGGGUGAGUAACGCGUAGGAAUCUACCGAGUAGUGGGGGACAACAGUUGGAAACGACUGCUAAUACCGUAUACGCCCUCCGGGGGAAAGGUCAGCCGCUAAAAGAGGGGCCCACGUCUGAUUAGCUUGUUGGUAAGGUAAUGGCUUACCAAGGCGACGAUCAGUAGCUGGUCUGAGAGGAUGAUCAGCCACACUGGGACUGAGACACGGCCCAG
rnacentral:rRNA from 1 species